rfam:Myotis davidii contig97179, whole genome shotgun sequence.
GGCUGUUCUUGAGUGACACCCCAGAAUCGGGCUCCUUCCUCUCUGGUUCCGGGUGCGUCACCCAAGAACCGCA